AUGCCGCAUGGCCGGGGCCCGGGGCGGAGCGGUGGGACCAGGGCUCCCGGAGUCAGCUCCAGGGCAGGAAGUGGCCCGCUCCUCCUUUCAGAGAGUGUUUCCGGAGCGCCUACUGUGUGCUCCUCCAUGGGGGUGGGGGCACUACCAGGCACAAAGGGUGCCAGUCCCCGUACCUUUGAGCCUCUGGUGGGCAGUCACAAGCCCACGGAUUCCACCAGUGACCCCAGGCCUGCUCACAUGAGUGACGCGUUCCUCCCCAUGGCCAGCAGCAGAGCGGACUGAAUGCUGGGUGACAGGCUGGCCUCAGACUCCGGUGCUCAAGGAUAUUCUUGCUUCAGGUUCCCAAAUAGCACUGCACACUGCACACGUGAAUCCCCAUGCCUGAUGG
ensembl:lincRNA Gm14230 predicted gene 14230